rnacentral:rRNA from 1 species
UCUCUCGCAUUCGAUUAGAGUUUGAUCAUGGCUCAGGACGAUUCUCCGGCGGUGUGCUUAACACAUGCAAGUGGUGCGACGAACCAGGCUUCGGCCUGGGGCAAAGCCGCGAACGGGCGAGUAACACGUGGGUAAUCUGCCCCGAUGACCGGGACAACCCGAGGAAACUCGGGCUAAUACCGGAUGUGGUGACCAGACAUAAGUCCGGUUACUAAAGGUAGCUUCGGCUUCCGCAUUGGGAGGGGCCCGCGGCCCAUUAGCUAGUUGGUGGGGUCAAGGCCUACCAAGGCAACGAUGGGUAGCUGGUCUGAGAGGACGAUCAGCCACACUGGGACUGAGACACGGCCCAGACUCCUACGGGAGGCAGCAGUGGGGAAUCUUGCGCAAUGCGCGAAAGCGUGACGCAGCAACACCGCGUGAGGGAAGACGGCCUUAGGGUUGUAAACCUCUUUCAGAUGGGACGAAGGUUGUCCGGUGAAUAGCCGUGAUGAUUGACGGUACCGUCAGAAGAAGCUCCGGCUAACUACGUGCCAGCAGCCGCGGUAAUACGUAUGGAGCGAGCGUUGUCCGGAAUCAUUGGGGCGUAAGAGCGCGUAAGUGGAUCAAUUAAUUCUGCUGUGAAAGUCGAGGCUCAACUUUCGAAAGCCGUUGGAUACUGUUGAUCUAGAGUACGGAAGAGCGGAGUGGGA